rnacentral:rRNA from 1 species
UACGUAGGGUGCAAGCGUUGUCCGGAAUUAUUGGGCGUAAAGAGCUUGUAGGCGGUUUGUCGCGUCUGCUGUGAAAUUUCGGGGCUCAACCCCGAACUUGCAGUGGGUACGGGCAGACUAGAGUGUGGUAGGGGAGACUGGAAUUCCUGGUGUAGCGGUGAAAUGCGCAGAUAUCAGGAGGAACACCAGUGGCGAAGGCGAUCUUCUGGACGGAUACUGACGCUGAGGCGCGAAAGCUAGGGGAGCAAACGGG